AUUCCAGCUCCGAGGGCGUAUAAUAGUGUUGUUGCGGUUAAAAAGCUCGUAGUUGGAUUUCUGUUCAGAAUGGUCCGCUUGUCCUUUCGGGUACACGACAUAUUUUGGGCAUAUUUGUGGAGAACGCUACUACUCUUUAUUGAGUAUCUGCGACAGUUACCUUGAGAAAAUUAGAGUGUUUCAAGCAAGCAUGGCUUUGAAUACGUUAGCAUGGAAUGACAGUAUAAGGUUUCGGUUUUAACUUGCUGGUACUUCGAAUUGAGAUAAUAUUUAAUAGGAACCGGUAGAGAUUGGCGUACUACCGAAGGAAAGGUGAAAUUUUUGGAUUCCGAGAUGUCGAACAAAGGCGAAAGCACUAAUCUGGCAUGUUUUCAUU
rnacentral:rRNA from 1 species